GAUUAAUAAUAAAACCAAAGCCAUUUUGCUAACAUUUCCUUUCCAGCGACCGGCGAGCGCACAGCCACACGCACAGAGGGGUGUUGCCGUGUAGCAGAGCAGCUCGCGCCAUGUCCCUGUCCGUCGGCGGCGCGCGGACCUCUCUCCUCCCUUCUUCGUUCACCGCCUCUUCAUCCCGCCCGCGCUUCCUCGCGCUCCCUCUCCACCGCCGCUCGCACGGCUCCCUCACCUCGCUGCCGGCCGCGUGCAGGCGGCGGCUCCGGGUGCGCAUGGCCCGGACGGAGUCCACCGGCGUCACCAUCGGCUUCCGCGCGCCGGAUUUCGAGCUCCCUGAGCCACUGACUGGAAAGCUCUGGACGUUGGAUGACUUCGAGGGCAACUCUGCACUGCUUGUUAUGUUCAUAUGCAACCACUGUCCAUUUGUAAAACAUCUGAAAAAGGACAUCAGCAAGCUCGCCUCUUUCUAUGUGGAGAAAGGACUUGGUGCUGUUGCCAUAUCGUCCAACUCAGUUAGGACGCAUCCCCAGGAUGGCCCAGAUCGCAUGGCUGAAGAAGCAGAGCUGUUCAAAUAUCCUUUCCCAUAUCUUUACGAUGAGUCUCAAGAGGUAGCCAAGGCUUUUGGAGCGGUCUGCACGCCAGAGUUCUACUUGUUCAAAAAGGAUGGCCGGAGGCCUUUUGAACUUUUCUACCAUGGACAGUUCGAUGACUCAAGACCCAGUAACAACGUGCCUGUAACCGGAAGUUUUGCAGGGACCUAAGCCGCGCGAUUGACUGUGCGCUCAGUGGCCAAGAACUGCCCUUUGUGCAAAAGCCAAGUGUCGGCUGCAGCAUCAAAUGGCACCCAUGAGGUGCCCACCUUGUUCGGCAUUUGAUUCGGCCCAGGCUCACAGGGGCUGAAGAUGAGACAGAUCUGUGGGGGAGAAACAGAAACAUGGGAACUUCUCUUGUGUGACGGCGAAAUAGUGUAGCGCUAGCGCAGCAACCAGCAAAAGGCUCAUGUAAAGAAUUGUUCACGAAACAGAAGAGCUUCACUUCUACCUUCUGUAGGACAUGGUCAUCGCAAAAGGCGUUGGUAUUGUUUCCUGCUGGAAGUAAUUUCUGCCGGGAUGGAUAUUCAUUUUCA